AGCCUUAUGUACUUAAUAUUAGGUGAUUUCUGCCCACUGAUUUUUUAACGGCCGCAGUACCCUGACUGUGCUAAGGUAGCAUAAUAAGUUGGCUUUUAAUUGGAGUCUAGUAUGAACGGGAUAAUGGGGGGGUUCUAUCUAUGGGGGAUUUUAUUUAACUUAUUAAUUAGGUGAAAAUACCUUUAAAUUAGAUUAAAGACGAGAAGACCCUUAGAAUUUUAAUUAGUGUAAUUUAUUAUUAUUUUUUUUUGUUGGGGUGACAAAGUAGAAGGUAUAAACCUACUCUAUUUUAAUUUGCCGGGUAAACCAUGAUAGGAGAAAUUACCUUAGGGAUAACAGCAUAAUUUUUCUUUUAGAUUGUGACCUCGAUGUUGGACUAGGAACUCUAUGAUAAGCAGUUAAAAGAGAUGGUUCUGUUCGAACUUAAACUCCU
rnacentral:rRNA from 1 species